rnacentral:rRNA from 1 species
AUGGAGGAGCUGGACAUGGAAGGCGAGAAGGCGGCCAGACCCGAGUUCGCCUACCCCUACUGCUAUGAGGACCAUGAGGUCGCCUGCUUGUGCGCGCAUGUAGAAGAGGAGCACCCAUUGGAGUGGAGAUAUAGUUUGCACAAUGUUCUGGUCCAGCAAAGUAUUUUAGAUGUGCAAAAGAGUAGUAGGGUUUUUGGUUAG